rnacentral:lncRNA from 1 species
AGGUCAAAUUAAGUUUGCAAUGGAGAUGAUCAACUUGAAGCCUUCGUUUGGUCGGAAGCUAAACCAAGACGGGUUUAGCCCCAUGCACUUGGCCCUCAAAAUGGGGCAUACCAAGCUAGUGCUUCGACUGUUGAAGACCGAUAAAGACCUGGUUCGCGUCAAAGGAAGGGAAGGGAUGACCCCUUUCCAUUGUGCAGCUGCAGUGGGGAACUCUAAUCUUUUAUUCCACUUCCUUGAAACUUGCCCUGAAUAAGUUGAGGAUGUCACGGUUCGUAACGAGACUGCAUUACAUCUUGCUCUGAAAAACGACCACACAGACGCUUUUAAUCUCUUACAUGGAUGGCUUCGAAAGAACCGUCGAGGAGGAGGCAAUGGUUUGGAAAGAAAGGUUGUGAAUUGGAGAGAUGAUGAUGACAACACUGUGUUGCACAUUGCAGCUACAAAUCAACAACAUCAGGUAUAUAUAUGCAAUAUAAUGAUAAGUUGCGUUCCUUUGAUCAUUUUAUUAAUGACUAUUUAUAAUAUUCUACGCAGGCAGUACAACUGUUGUUGGAUUCCUUUUAUGGGUUAGAUGCAAACGCUAAGAAUUCGGAAGGCUUGACAGCUCGAGAAAUCAUAGAAAGGGUUGAAAGACAAGGGUUGAACAUGAGUGGCGCCGAAGACGAUGAUAUCUCCACCGCCAAGAUUGAGCGCAUUAAGAAAAGAACUAGUAGGUCUGAAAGAGCAUUAGUAAAGUUGAUUCGUGCAAGGAAUGGGUUGUCAGAGAACAUGCUCAACGCAACACUGGUGGUAGCGGCGCUGGUCAUUACAGCAAUCUACCAGUCAUCUUUAAGCCCACCAAGAGGUCUUUGGCAAGGUGAUAACACUAGUAUCCCCACCACCAACUCAAACCUUACUACUACUACUAAAUUUAAACUCUUUAACGACAAUUACAGUGAGUAUCGUUUUAAAUUUCUGUUGGGUGAAGAAACAAGGAAAACUGGUACUGCAGUCAUGAAUCCCAACUUGUUUUUAGGGUUUUGGUUUUUCAAUUUUAUAGCAUUUGGGCUUCCAGUUCUUCUAACCGUUUUGCUUUUAUCCAAUGUACCUAGUAUUCUUCUCAUCCCGCUUUAUUAUCUAUCUGUCUCCUACUUCAACUGCAUGACAAUAGUAUCUCCUUCCACGUUUUGGGCAAACCUCAACUUUGUUGUCAUGCGGACAGCCAUUCUUCUCCCGUUGCUCUUAGUUGUUAGAAGCGUAUGGUUAUCGAAGCAACCAAAGUACAGGGAAAUCAGACAAUUACGUAGACUUUUCCGCAAGUAGAAUAAUGUUGGAAUCAUUCAACGGUUGCGAAUGUCAAUGUAGUUUAUAUGUUCUCUUAUGUUAUGUACUUUUUUCCAUUUUCUCUGGAUUAUCGAUAAAAAAUUUAUGUAAUUGCUUUGGAUAAAUUUAAUAAAUAAGAUUACUGUCGAAACCGCUUUUUUGAAAAAAAAAAAUUUGGUUGUCGACUUUAAAAAUAAAACUGGAGUCGUCACCGAUCCUUUAUUAAGGUGCGAUCGGCCCACCUUAAAAAUUAUUUUGGCCUACGAAUUUUGAGAAAACGAGUUCGGGAGUCAGUUACGCACGAGGAAGUGUUAGCACCCUCGUAACGCCCAAAAUCGGUACCAAAUUGAUUAUUUGAUGUCUUAGUGUCGAAGGUUAAAAAGAUUUUUAAAACAACUCAAAUGAUGAAAUCUGAAAAGGAUACUCAAUUGUUCAAGUCAUGUAAAGAAAUCGAGUCCCAAUACGUUAGGGUACAAUUUCUCAAAAUUCUCGAACUUUGAAUAUCACUUUUAUUUUAUGCGAAAAUUUUCAUUUUGGGAAAGUAACAUGCCACACCCAAUACGUUAGGACACGACAAGUUAAGUUCCCAAAAAUGAUUUUUAUUCUCAUGCAUUUUGAAUAAAGAAUAUUCCCAGCUUUUUAAGAUUGACAAAGAAAAUCAGAACCCAAUGCGUUAGGGCUCAAUUUUCCUCGGAAAUCCCAAACUUCGAAUAAUGCUUUUAUUAAAAAAACCUUUGAAUCAUGAAAAUAACUUUGAUAUACGGUUAAAACCAAAAUAUAUUUUCAAAAGGGUACAUUGAAAAGUUAAUGUACAAUAUGAUACAAAACUUCAAUUUAAAAUACAUGUAUAUAUGUGUCUUUUCAAAAUAUAAGUAUGAGACAUAAAUAAAUUUUGAAAACGUGUAUGAGCAUAUAUUAAAACGGGUAUAUAUAAGUAUACGUAUAUAUAAAAAAAAUGAAAUAUAUAAAACAAAACAAAAACCUAUUAUAAUUUUCUAAGAAAAUAUGCAUGUAUGUAUAUGUAUGCGAAAUUUAUGAAAAUAAGAUAAAAGUAUAAAAAUAUGUACAUGUGUAUAUAUUUACAAAAAAGUAUACAUAUAAAAUAUAAAGUAUAUAUAAAAAGUAAAUAACAAAAAUAAAAAAAACAUAGGUAUAAAAUAUAUGCAUUUAUUUAUAAAACUUUAAUAUAUAUAUAUAUACCUAUAUAAAAAAAACCCAUAUGUAUAUUAUAUAUAAAAAAACUAUGCGUAUAUAUAUAUGUAUAGAAAAUAUGAUAAUAAUCAAUAAUAAUAACUAAUAUAAUAAAAAUAAUUAAUUUUAAUGAUAAAAUAAUUAAUAACAAGGGACCCAAAUUGAAACUACAGGAAACUUUCAGGUAAACAUUUAAAAUAAUAAAAGCUGAAGACUAAUUUGUAGUGCCCUGGAAACAUCAGGGAGUAAACGAGCAAAUAUACCAGCCCCUUAUACGCAGCGUUUUCAUGUUGGACCAAAUUGAAACAGGAAACAGACGUGCGGUCAAAAUUAAAAAUAAAAAAAAUUGUAUUGAAGGUGACUCAAAAACAGAGGGACCAGUUGCGCAAAUUCUCCAUUCAGGGCCAGAACGCGCGGACCCUGCUUGCGGGUCGGGUCGACGCGCGGAUCUGGCCCCUUGCAAAACGGCGCCGUUUCACUCUUAUUAUUUAAAACAAUUUUCUUCUUCUUUUUUUCUAAAAUCUGUAGCCAACAAACAAAAAAACUUUUAACCCUCUGCUAGGUUUUUUUUAUUUAAAAAAACUCCUUUUGUUUUUGCGCCGUCGCUCGUCGGCCACCGGAGCUCCGAUGACGGCAGAGAUGGUAGCAAACGGCGGCCCGAACACAGAGGUAAACUCCUCUUCACUCUCUUCUCUUUAUAAAUCAACAGUAAACAUGGAAGAAAAAAAAUGAACGCCGAAAAAAAAACCACCUUUAUAUUCAAGAAAAGUUUGUAUUUUCCUUUCUUUUUCUCUGUAUUUUUCAGUGUUUUUGUGUGCACUCCUUUACACCGAAAAUCCCCCCUUUAUUCUCUUUACAAAUCUGUUUAUAUAUAACCGAAAAAUAUAAAAAAAUGCAAAAUCAAAGAAAUAUUUUCUGUUAUUGUUGCACUUUCUGCCAUUUUCCAGUUUUUUCUCGCAGGUAUGGGCACUGUUGGGGAGUGCUCACGCUCGUGGAGGCGCAAAUCGCGCGGAGGGAGGACUCUGGCCCGCAUUGUGCGGCGGCUGGAGUUGCUGGAGGCUGCCAUUAGGGUUUGGGGUAUGGGGGUUGCUAGUUGGGCCAGGUUUAGGGUUAUUGGGCCUGUAUAUUUGGUUUUUUAGUGGGCCGGACAAUUUGGGCUUGUACAGUUGCCCCUCUUUGCUGGUUGUCGUAUAACGGGAACAGAGCAAAGACUACAAGGCCCAAUUGUGCCCGGUCUUCCUGAGUCUUAACUUCUUCCAUGCCUCUCUUCUUUAGGUAGCCUCAUUCAUUCCUACUGCAUUUUCAGAGGUAUAGGAACUAGCUUCAAUCCACUCCACCGCAAUGUCAGGGAGAUAGGCUUCGUACGUUUUAGCUUCUCAAAAAGAACAAAAUUUGCUAUCUUUAAUCUGCUCCAUUGCAACUUCAGGGAGAUAAGACUUGUAGCUUCAAUUUGUUCUGCUACAACUUAAAGAUAAGUCCGAUGCGAUCUGCUUUACUGCAACUUCAGAGAGAUGAGAUCUGUGGUCUUAAUCCACUCCAUUGCAACUUCAAGGAGAUUGGAUUGGUUACUUUUGUAUCCUCCACUGCAACUUCAGGGAGACAAGACUUGUAUCUUCGAUCUACUUCACCACCAGUAUGGGAAGACAAGAUCUGCUUUCUUCGAUCUACUUCACGCCAAUACAUGAAGACAAGAUCUGCUUUCUUCGAUCGAUUCCACUACCGAUCGGGGAGAUAGAAUUACUGGCUUCAAUAUACUCCACUGCAACUUCAGGGAGGUAAAAUUCGCCAUCUUCGAUCUGCUCCACUACUGCUUAGGGAGGCAAAAUCUGUAAUCUUCAAUCUAUUCCACUGUUGCCCAGGGAGAUAUAAUUACUGGCUUCAAUGUACUCCACUGUAACUUCAGGGAGGUAAAAUCUGACAUCUUCGAUCUGCUCCACUACUGCUUAGGGAGGCAAGAUCUGUAAUCUUCAAUCUACUUCGCCACCAGUAUGGGAAGAUAAAAUCUGUAUAUUCGAUCCACUUCACUACCGAUAUAAGAAUACAAGACCUACUAUCUUUGAUGAAGACAAGAUCUGUUUUCUUCGAUCUACUUCGCCACCAGAAAAGGAAGACAAGAUCUGGUAUCUUUGAUCCACUUCGCUACCAAUAUAGGAAGACAGGAUCUAGUAUCUUUGAUCUACUUCACGCCAGUACAUGAAGACAAGAUCUGUUUUCUUCGAUCUACUUCGCCACCAGUAUGGGAAGACAAGAUCUGGUAUCUUUGAUCUACUUCGCUACCAAUAUAGGAAGACAGGAUCUGGUAUCUUUGAUCUACUUCACGCCAGUACAUGAAGACAAGAUCUGUUUUCUUCGAUCUACUUCGCCACCAGAAUAAGAAGACAAGAUCUGGUAUCUUUGAUCCACUUCGCUACCAAUAUAGGAAGACAGGAUCUAGUAUCUUUGAUCUACUUCACGCCAGUAUAUGAAGACAAGAUCUGUUUUCUUCGAUCUACUUCGCCACCAGUAUGGGAAGACAAGAUCUGGUAUCUUUGAUCAACUUCGCUACCAAUAUAGGAAGCCAGGAUCUGGUAUCUUUGAUCUACUUCACGCCAGUACAUGAAGACAAGAUCUGUUUUCUUCGAUCUACUUCGCCACCAGAAAAAGAAGACAAGAUCUGGUAUCUUUGAUCCACUUCGCUGCCAAUAUAGGAAGACAGGAUCUAGUAUCUUUGAUCUACUUCACGCCAGUACAUGAAGACAAGAUCUGUUUUCUUCGAUCUACUUCGCCACCAGUAUGGGAAGACAAGAUCUGGUAUCUUUGAUCUACUUCGCUACCAAUAUAGGAAGACAGGAUCUGGUAUCUUUGAUCUACUUCACGCCAGUACAUGAAGACAAGAUCUGUUUUCUUCGAUCUACUUCGCCACCAGAAAAAGAAGACAAGAUCUGGUAUCUUUGAUCCACUUCGCUGCCAAUAUAGGAAGACAGGAUCUAGUAUCUUUGAUCUACUUCACGCCAGUACAUGAAGACAAGAUCUGUUUUCUUCGAUCUACUUCGCCACCAGUAUGGGAAGACAAGAUCUGGUAUCUUUGAUCAACUUCGCUACCAAUAUAGGAAGCCAGGAUCUGGUAUCUUUGAUCUACUUCACGCCAGUACAUGAAGACAAGAUCUGUUUUCUUCGAUCUACUUCGCCACCAGAAUAGGAAGACAAGAUCUGGUAUCUUUGAUCCACUUCACUACCAAUAUAGGAAGACAGGAUCUAGUAUCUUUGAUCUACUUUAGGCCAGUACAUGAAGACAAGAUCUGUUUUCUUCGAUCUACUUCGCCACCAGUAUGGGAAGACAAGAUCUGGUAUCUUCGAUCUACUUCACGCCAGUACAUGAAGACAAGAUCCGCUUUUUCUGAUUGAUUCCACUACCAACCGGGGAGGUAGAAUUACUAGCUUCAAUAUACUCCACGGAAACUUCAGGGAGGUAUAAUCCGCCAUCUUCGAUCUGCUCCACUACUGCUUAGGGAGGCAAGAUCUGUUUCUUUGAUCUACUUCACGCCAGUACAUGAAGACAAGAUCUGUUUUCUUGGAUCUACUUCACCACCAGUAUGGGAAGACAAGAUCUUUUGUAUUCAACAUGCUCCACUGUUGCUCAGGGAGAUAAGGCUUCAUGAUUUCACUGAUCUGCUCUCUGUAGAACAUGACCUGUAUGAUUUAUUUCAUGAACCAAUUAUGCCUAAUGAUUAGGAUGUCAUGAUCAGAAUGAAUCAAAUGCCCCUAACUAGAUAUGUAUGAAUGACAUUUGAAUGAAAGCAAAAUGUCAUGAAAAUGAUAUUUUAACGCUUGAGUUAUUAUUACUCCAAGUUUAUUAAGGUUUAAUUGCAAAUGUGCUAUAGCGCCUCUUUGCUCGGCUGGCGUCUCCAAAGAACAUUUGAUCAGAUUGCCCCCCACUGUAAACCUCUAAGUUUGAUCCACUGGGAUGCAAAAAUUUGUACCAUCUUUCUCCCGUUGUAAACCAAGAUGUGAAAGAUUUGGCCUUUUCUCAAUCCUCUGUUAUCACAAUACAGGAUGUGAAACUUUUUGGUCUCUUACACCAUUCCCAGGGUGUUGUACCAAAAUGCUCAUGCACAAAUGAAGAAAUCUUCUCCAAGAACAACUUCCUCUUAUUAUUCGGUGAUCAUUGCUUGCUUGUUCAUUGAAGCUUUGUCACCAACAUGACAUCUUGCCAUUUUAUUCAAUUUAGACAAGAAAAUUCAAAGGGAUAGUCUUUAAUUUAGAAUCUUCUUUAUCAGAUUUCCAACCUGGUGCGUUUUAAACAAUAGUCCUGUUUGAGGUUCCUAUAUUAUUCAGAGACUUCUAGAGUAAUAUGCAAAACUUCCCUUGUGAAAGUUUUACUAGUCCAUUAAUCAUUAUUCUAAUGCAACAUGCUUGCAAAAAAGAUUAUAGAUAAGAAUAGAGUUGGUUCUGCGCAUAACUUGAAAUGAAUAAGUUGUCAAAGAUAAUAAAGAUAAAUGACAAAGAAAUGUGUAUCUUGGAAAUGAAUGAAGUGUUCCAAGAAUAACAAAAAUGAUAUACAGAUUAGGUGCCCCAGAUAUCGUAGCUUGAACUUCUCUGUACAAACUUGCUGAAGAGCUUUCUGGGCUUGACAUGUGUUUAGAAGAUCUACCAUACUCUAUCGAUGCCCCAAGAUGUCGCAUACCAUUUCCUGCUGAUUCUGGUAUAGCAAGACCACUGUAUAUCCCAUUUUGAUCAGUAUUUGAGCUGCUCUGAUUACUUCAUGCCCUAUUCUGAUCAAUAUUUGAGCCGCCCUUUUCGGGUUUUCAACUCAAAUCCCCUUUGGUCUAAGGCGCCCUUUGCGAGUUUUCACCUUAACCUCUCCAUUUUUUACUCAAAGCUCCCUUUGUAGGGUUUCACAUUGGCCUUUUUUUUGACUCAAAGCGCCAUUUGUAGGCUUUCACCUUGGUCCCACCUUUUAGGAAAAGUACUUCCUAACGGAAUUUGAGUUUACAUAGCUUGGAGAAUCUUUACCAUCCAUCUUACUCAGGAUCAAAAUUUUCCCCAGAAAAGGCUUUCUUUAUGACAUAUCCUCUUAAUUUGGCAUCCAUCUUCCUCUAAAAUCCUUUUGUAUAUGAAGGAUUUGCUUCCCCUUGUGAAAAUUUCUAAGACGAGCCUUUGGAUCUUCCUCUUAGGAUAAAAAUGCAGAGAAAUGACAAUUCGACUUCAAUGAGCAAAGCUAUGAUAAACCAAAGUGAAAGACAUUGCCCCAGUAAAGGAAUUUCACUGAGCAUAUCCGGGUAUAACCAUGUGAAGACAUCAUUGAAUUCCUAGGGUAACUCAUAAGGUCUUGAUUUGCUUCUUCAGUCAUACAUGUUCCCUCAAGGUCACAGUCUUCAUUGUCUUUUCAUGAGGUAAAAUCUUCUUCCUGCUCUACCAUCCUUAAUAAAUCCAGAAAUAAGCUACGAUCCAUGUCAUCUUCAAAGUUGUGAGAUCCCUCUAAACACAUGUCUCACUCAAAAGGAGAUUCUAAAUUUGUAGCAGUGUCAUUCAUGUCAUUGAUAUUUGGGGACCUAUAGUGGGUACCAAAAAAAGAAUGUAUGAAUAAUAUAAAUGAACGAAUGAAUGAUUUGGCAGGAGAAAUCCAAUAGAAUGAAGAAAACGUAAAGACUGAAAGAACAUUUGCUCAAAGAUUAUUGCAAUAAUGUAUUCAUUAAAAAUAAUAAUGUUCAGACAUGAGUCUAUUUCACAAAGGAGUUCUUAUUGAUUUUAGGCUAAAAGCAACAAGUGUGUUCUGAACAUUACUCUAUCAAGCUCUAAAUAACAUAGGAGUUUCCUCUGCAGUCCCAUUAUUUAUAACACCUCCCAGGCGGAUAUCUGACCAGAACCCUUUUAAUUGCGUCUGCACAUAUGGCGUCGAUGUGAAAAUCUCAUCACUUCUCUACACAUCACACACCCCCCAUUAUCAAUCAUGAUUGGGUAAUGGACUCUCUGCACUUGAUGAGUCACCAAAUUUAACAACACCCAUGUCGAUGAGUCUUUCAACUUGCUUCUUGAAGGCAGUGUAAUUCUCAAUCGAAUGUCCCGUAGUUCCCGCAUGGUAUUCACAUUGCGCGUUCGCAUCAUACCAUUUGGGAUACGGAGGUUGUAGAGGCUUCACAAGAAAAGGGGAAACAACAUGGGCAUCAAACAGAUUUUGAUACAGUUUCCUAUAUGGUAUUGGAAUUGGCGUGAAUCGGGGCCUCUCUGUGUUUUGUCCUGUACUAGCUUUCUGUCUCGAUGAACCUUGCUGGUUAGCAGCCACCUUUCUUGGCUGACUUACCGUAACUGAUUUAGAGUAACCCAUGUUGUUCACCUCAUCUUCUCUUCUCCUUGAGACUGACCUCUUGUUACUCUCUCCAACAUCGAUCUUUCCACUUCUUAUGGCAUUUUCGAUCAUCUCGCCAUUCAUGAUUAUGUCGGGAAAGCUUUUUGUAGCACUCCCCAACAUAUGUGUAAUGAACGGUGCCUUCAGGGUGUUAAUGAACAACAUGGUCAUUUCUUUUUCCAAGAGCGAUGGCUGAACUUGGACUGCGACCUCCCUCCAUCUCUGCGCGUAUUGUCUAAAGCUUUCACUCGGCUUCUUCUCCAUAUUUUGAAGGGUGAUCCUAUCAGGAGCCAUGUCCGUCACAUGACUAUACUGUUUCAUGAAUGCUUGUGCCAAGUCCCUCCAUGAUCCAAUCGUGGCACGACUCAACUGAUUGUACCACUUGGAUGCUGCCCCAGUAAGGCUGUCUUGGAAACAGUGUAUCAAGAGUUGGUCGUUGUUAACAUAACCCGUCAUUCGCCUGCAGAACAUGGUGAUGUGAGCUGCUGGGCAGCUUGUCCCAUUGUACUUUUCAAAUUCAGGCAUCUUAAACUUAUGAGGGAGAACAAGGUCUGGCACCAAACUCAGCUCUUUUGCGUCAAUGCCCCGAUUACUUUCAGUGACUUCCAUCGCUUUAAACUUCUCCUCGAGCCACUUGCAUCGAUCGUCUAACUGUUUCGGUAAUUCCACCUUUAUUCUUUCCUUCUCAACCACUUCAUCAAAGUCAGGAAUGGCAGAGUUAACAUGAUUAUUUUCAAGAUUAGAACUCGGCCCAGUUUGGAGGUUCGAAAUACCAGCCCAAAACUGCUGAGGCAUGAUAGUGACAGUAGAUUUGCGCGGGUAUUCAGCUUGGGCUCGCGUAUGUGGAGGGGUGAAACCUAGAGUGUAAAGAAUUUCAUCAUCAUUUCCCUCAUCGACAUUUGCCAUGGGACCCUUUCCUUUAUCACUUCCCUUAGUUAUCAGUCGGGUUAACUUUUCCACUAUAUCCUCCUGAGAUUCCCGUAUCUUCUCAGACAUUUCUUGCUUCAUUUUGUCUAACCGCUCCUGCAUUUGUAGCUGAAGCCGGUCUUGCAUCUCCUUCUGGUACUGUUCGAGCUUCUCUAAUCUCUGAUCCAUAUCUUUUGUCUUUGCUCGAGUGCCGUAACGGUGCUUGGUAGGUUGGUUGGUUUCCAGGUUAACUGAGCAAUGAUUUUAAUUAAUUAGGAUCAUUUAGAGGUGUUUAAUGCAUAUGAUGCAAUGUGAUGCAAAUGCAUGAAAUGAAUGCCUAAAGAGAUGUUAACUUUGAUUCAAUUACAUUCAAAAAACUUUACUAGAAGACGAAUUUCUUUACAUAAAGUAGAUAUAUAUAUACGACUUUGCCCUCAUAUUCCAGUCGAAGACAUCUUCUCCUUCUCUAUCCGGAUGCUAGGAUAAACCUUGCGAAUUCUUCAAAAGGAACGUCUCUUCUACCUCCUGGGCUGUGACUCGUUGCUCCUUUAUCGUCGCGAUGCUCGUUGGCUUCCCUUAAAAAAAAGUUCAGCGGCUCUCGAAUAAUCUUCAUCUGUAAUGGCCCAAAUUCAAAAUUAUCGGAAUAGUGGUUUCGUAACCACAAAUCUGAUUUAAAGAAAAAUUUAUUUUAAUAUUUGUGCAUGAAUAUUGAUAUGAUAGGAAAAAUCGUAUGAAAAUAUAGAUAGAAAAAUUUUACUGAUUAAGUGGUUAGUUAGAAAAAGAAAUUAUUGAAGGAAUUAGGUAAAAAUAAGAUAUCGAGACUUUGAUCUAGUAAAACCGAGUCAAAAAUAUUUUUAUAAAUAUUUAUGAAGUGUUAGUAAUAUGGUAUUAAAAUUUCGUUAGAAAAUAUUAAUGUUUGGGUAGUCAAUUAAGUGAAAAGGACUAAAUUGAAAAAAAUGUAAAAGUUACUAGAGGGAUUAAAUAGCUCAAUUGUGAAAUGAGGAGGGAUAUAAAUUGCAAAUAACCUCAAAAGGAGAUAUUUUGGGCGGCAUACGCUGAGAAAAAUCAGGAGAAUUGAAGAAAUAAGGGUAAAAUUGGAAUAUUACAAAAUUUGCUUUAAAAGUUAGGACUAAAGUGGAAUUAUCUAGAUUUCUCUUUAAUUUUCUGCACUUUCAUCAGCCACAAACGUCCUAAGGGUUUCUUCAAGCUGGUUUUUCAUAAUUUUUGCACCAAGUGAGUUAAUUCUUGCCUUUUUCUUGUAAUUUUUGCGUUUCUAAGACUUUUACAAUUAGGUCCUAUUACUUAAUUCAUUAGUUUUUGAUUUUAUGAAUGAUAUUGAAAGUUGAUAUGAAUAUGUGCUGGAAGUUUAUGAGGAAAUAGGAUGAAAUUGAAGCUUUAAUUUGUUUAUGAGAUGAUUUUAUUAGGUAAUUCCAAUAGAAAUUGAUUUGUAGGACCUAAUUGUGAAAAAGUUUGGAAUUAAAGUUUAGUGCUGAAAUUCUUAUUUCCAAAGGUUAUAAGGUAGUUUAAAGUGAUAUAAUAAAGUGUUGAUUGAGAAAAAUUAGCUCAAUUGAGAGGUUAAUUGAGCAGGGACGAAAUUAUCAUUGUUGAAAGUUUAGGGGAAAAAUGGUAAUUAACACCAUGCACUAAAACAGUUUUGGACAGCAGCAGUACUUAACUUUGAAAAAUCACCAAAAAUUUUAGAGAUCGAAUUAGAGGAUGAAUAAAAUAUGAAAUUAAAGCUUAUUGAGUCUAGUUUCUUAUAAAAGAAACGGUGUAAGAAAUGGAAUUGUAAAUCAUGAGAUAUAAUAGAAUUUGUGAGACAAGGUCAGAAUGAAUUCGGGUUCCCCUGUUCUGACUUUGGAAAAUCAUUAAAAAUUGUAAAAAAACGAUUAUGAGUUAUAAUUUAUAUGCUUAGAAUCCUUAAUGAGUCUAUUUUCUGAGGAAAUAAAGGGAAGCAUCAUCCUAAUUCUGUACAGUGAGAUAAUUAAUUUUUAGUGAAGAGGGGUCAGAACUGUCAUACAGUGAAACAGGGGAAACUUUAAAGAAUAAACUGUACUUAUUGGCUAAACCAAAAAUUCUGAAAUUUUUAUGGUAAGAAGAUAUGUGAGUCUAGUUUCAGGAAAAAUUAACGGAUCUUAAUUUGGAGUUCUGUAGCUCAAGAUAUAAAUAAUUUAGUGACUGUGACUCAGUGAGGCAGCUUUGAAUGCACUAUAAAUAAUAAUGGAAUUGUAGAGAAAGUUACAUAUGAACAUGAAAUGUAUUAGAUUAAUGAUUAAAUUUAUUUAUUUAGAUCCGGAAAAUUCAAAUACGAAGCAAGAUCGAGGAAAAGAAAAAGUUCGGGAUUAGUAGAUUUUUGGUUACGAACAAGUGUCGAGGUAAGUUCGUGUAACUUGAAUUAUAUUCAUAAAUGCUUGAAAUGUUUGUUAUUGAUGUGAAUAUGAGUUGGAUGUUUGUUGUAUGAUAAUUGAUGAAGUAUUGAUAUUCUUGAUGAAAAGAGAAAAUAAAUCUCGGUUGAAUGAAAGGAAAAUUCGAUGGAUCUCUGAAAAGGAAUUGACGGUAAAAAGGAUCUAGCCCGGACGGGUGAUCCUAUCCUGAUAUAGCCCUCCCGAAGAAUAUGUGGAAAAUGGAUUUAGCCCGGACGGGUAAUCCGAAUUAGGGUCUGAAUUUAGCCUGGACUGGUAAUUCAGAUCCAAGCUCAUUAGAGUAAUUGUCGUUGCAGGGGAUUUAGCCUGGACUGGUAAUCCCGACAAUACUCUAUGAGUUUAUAUUACAGGGGAUUUAGCCUGGACUGGUAAUCCCGCUGUAAGGAUGAGGUUCGCGGGAGUGUGCUCUCUGAAAUAGAAAUGUGCGCACAUGAAUAUGAAUUGACGGACCCGGAUUUGUACACUUAGGUGUACCCCAGAAUAUCCAUCGAAAUUCCAAGUAGUUCAACGGGAUAAAUAUGGAAAAAUAAUAAGGAAAUGGAAAUCAUGGAAUUGAUGAGCUCAUCAAUCAUUUAUCUUUGUAAUGAAUUUGUAUGAGGUUGAGUUUGUAUGUGAUAGGUAUAUGUUUAUGUGAAUUGGAUGUGUGCUUGUGUUAUUAAAUGAUGGAUGUAUAAGUAUGGUAAGUAUAAUUCCUGUUACAUGAACUUACUAAGCACAAAGUGCUUACCCUGUUUCUUUUUCCCCUGUUUGUAGAGUUAAGAGCUCGGAAGUCGGAUUUGGUCGGAGACACAUCACACUAUCAAUCUCGAGAUCUCGGUACAUAAAGGAACUUUAUUUUGGAAAUCAAUGGCAUGUAUAAGCUAGUAAAUUAGAUGUUAAUGUGAAAUGAAUGUAUGGUUAGCCAUUGGUAUGGCUAACAAAUUUUGGUUUUGGUAUGUGAUGAAAUUAUCUUAUGAAUAUGAUAAAUCUAUCUUAAAAAAAAAAAUUCGGUAAAAUCUGGUAAUGCCUUAUACUCUAUUUCGGCGACGAAUACGGGUAGGGGGUAUUACAUCAUCAGCUUGAGUCUUCGGGCAACGGAGCAAUGGUUAUGUAGUCCUCCAUUAAACUAUCAUCUUCCUCUAGUUGUGUUUUCUCGGAACAUAUUCGGGCAACCGUAUUAUUUUCCACUUUAUCAAGAAACCCAUUUCCUUAUGACAAGCUCUCUAUUAACAACCGAAUGUGAAUCAACACCUCUUUUAUGAUGAAAAAUGCAAUGCAAUCAUGAUGUCAUGCAAUCAAAACAAAAUGCAACAAGUUAGUAUCGGGUAUAAACAUUAAAUCCAAUAUAAGCAAGAAAUAAUAAAAACUCCUAGUCAGGUAUCUCCUAAGGUUUAGAGUACUUCUACCUAAGGUAAGUUCCUAAAGCUCACUAUAUGAGGUUUAGUUUCUAGAGUAAAGGUACCCGAACCAGCAGAUUCCUCGAUCCUCACCCAUUAUAGGCUCAUGUGGAUCAAGUUUAGUUCAGGGGGAUACAUUUCCCUAUGGCUGCACGGAGAUGAAAAUCUCACGAAGACAUAGGUACGGAUGUAUCCCGGAAGCGAUCCACUACCCUGCACGGAGGUGAAAACCUCACGAAGGACUAGUUUCUCGCUCCCACUUAAAGGGUAAAAUGCAAAAUGCAAAUGCAGAGUUGCCAACAUACCAAAACUCAAUGAAUACGAAGGGAACUCAUGAAAUUUUUUUUAAAACACUUUUGAUUUUCGACACAAAGACAAAUAUAAUCGGUUUAUGGCUCGACUCUCCAACGUCCCCAGUGGAGUCGCCAAGCUGUCGAAACCGCUUUUUUGAAAAACAAAAAUUUGGUUGUCGACUUUAAAAAUAAAACUGGAGUCGCCACCGAUCCUUUAUUAAGGUGCGAUCGGCCCACCUUAAAAAUUAUUUUGGCCUACGAAUUUUGAGAAAAUGAGUUCGGGAGUCAGUUACGCACGAGGAAGUGUUAGCACCCUCGUAACGCCCAAAAUCGGUACCAAAUUGAUUAUUUGAUGUCUUAGUGUCGAAGGUUAAAAAGAUUUUUAAAACAACUCAAAUGAUGAAAUCUGAAAAGGAUACUCAAUUGUUCAAGUCAUGUAAAGAAAUCGAGUCCCAAUACGUUAGGGUACAAUUUCUCAAAAUUCUCGAACUUUGAAUAUCACUUUUAUUUUAUGCGAAAAUUUUCAUUUUGGGAAAGUAACAUGCCACACCCAAUACGUUAGGACAGGACAAGUUAAGUUCCCAAAAAUGAUUUUUAUUCUCAUGCAUUUUGAAUAAAGAAUAUUCCCAGCUUUUUAAGAUUGACAAAGAAAAUCAGAACCCAAUGCGUUAGGGCUCAAUUUUCCUCGGAAAUCCCAAACUUCGAAUAAUGCUUUUAUUAAAAAAACCUUUGAAUCAUGAAAAUAACUUUGAUAUACGGUUAAAACCAAAAUAUAUUUUCAAAAGGGUACAUUGAAAAGUUAAUGUACAAUAUGAUACAAAACUUCAAUUUAAAAUACAUGUAUAUAUGUGUCUUUUCAAAAUAUAAGUAUGAGACAUAAAUAAAUUUUGAAAACGUGUAUGAGCAUAUAUUAAAACGGGUAUAUAUAAGUAUACGUAUAUAUAAAAAAAAUGAAAUAUAUAAAACAAAACAAAAACCUAUUAUAAUUUUCUAAGAAAAUAUGCAUGUAUGUAUAUGUAUGCGAAAUUUAUGAAAAUAAGAUAAAAGUAUAAAAAUAUGUACAUGUGUAUAUAUUUACAAAAAAGUAUACAUAUAAAAUAUAAAGUAUAUAUAAAAAGUAAAUAACAAAAAUAAAAAAAACAUAGGUAUAAAAUAUAUGCAUUUAUUUAUAAAACUUUAAUAUAUAUAUACCUAUAUAAAAAAAACCCAUAUGUAUAUUAUAUAUAAAAAAACUAUGCGUAUAUAUAUAUAUGUAUAGAAAAUAUGAUAAUAAUCAAUAAUAAUAACUAAUAUAAUAAAAAUAAUUAAUUUUAAUGAUAAAAUAAUUAAUAACAAGGGACCCAAAUUGAAACUACAGGAAACUUUCAGGUAAACAUUUAAAAUAAUAAAAGCUGAAGACUAAUUUGUAGUGCCCUGGAAACAUCAGGGAGUAAACGAGCAAAUAUACCAGCCCCUUAUACGCAGCAUUUUCAUGUUGGACCAAAUUGAAACAGGAAACAGACGUGCGGUCAAAAUUAAAAAUAAAAAAAAUUGCAUUGAAGGUGACUCAAAAACAGAGGGACCAGUUGCGCAAAUUCCCCAUUCAGGGCCAGAACGCGCGGACCCUGCUUGCGGGUCGGGUCGACGCGCGGAUCUGGCCCCUUGCAAAACGGCGCCGUUUCACUCUUAUUAUUUAAAACAGUUUUCUUCUUUUUUUUUAAAAAUCUGUAGCCAACAAACAAAAAAACUUUUAACCCUCUGCUAGGUUUUUUUUUUAAAAAACUCCUUUUGUUUUUGUGCCGUCGCUCGUCGGCCACCGGAGCCCCGAUGACGGCAGAGAUGGUAGCAAACGGCGGCCCGAACACAGAGGUAAACUCCUCUUCACUCUCUUCUCUUUAUAAAUCAACAGUAAACAUGGAAGAAAAAAAAAUGAACGCCGAAAAAAAAAAACCACCUUUAUAUUCAAGAAAAGUUUGUAUUUUCCUUUCUUUUUCUCUGUAUUUUUCAGUGUUUUUGUGUGCACUCCUUUACACCGAAAAUCCCCCCUUUAUUCUCUUUACAAAUCGGUUUAUAUAUAACCGAAAAAUAUAAAAAAAAUGCAAAAUCAAAGAAAUAUUUUCUGUUAUUGCUGCACUUUCUGCCAUUUUCCAGUUUUUUCUCGCAGGUAUGGGCACUGUUGGGGAGUGCUCACGCUCGUGGAGGCGCAAAUCGCGCGGAGGGAGGACUCUGGCCCGCAUUGUGCGGCGGCUGGUGUUGCUGGAGGCUGCCAUUAAGGUUUGGGGUAUGGGGGUUGCUAGUUGGGCCAGGUUUAGGGUUAUUGGGCCUGUAUAUUUGGUUUUUUAGUGGGCCGGACAAUUUGGGCUUGUACAAUUACUUUUCCCAACAGAUAUCUUUGUCCUUUGCAACCAAAAAAAAAAAAAAAACAAAGAAAAACCAACCAUCCUAUUUUCUAAUUUAAAAAAAUAUUUUCCUUUUUGUGAAAAUAGAUGUUUUCGGAGUAUUGUUGAUUCAAAAGUAACAAAUUUUUCAACAAGUCGAUAUUUUUCUCUCAAUAUUUUCUAAAAGAAUGACAAUUUCAUAAACAACAGCCAUAUUCAUGCUAUUCAAAUGUAUCUUAAUAAAACCCUAUCAUCAUUGAUGUCUAAAAGGAAUUUUUUAUCCCAUUUAAAGCUAAAAGCAACUAUUUUUUUAAAAGCCAAAUUAGCUUUUCAAAACCAUCUUUUUUAAGUCAAAUCAAAAACUUCAAAUUUCGUUUUUACUUUUCUAAAGCUAGUUUUGAGUGUCUAAAUACAAUUUUAUCUCUCAUUUAAUCUAAAACUUUUAUAAAGUAUAGGGACUAAUAGCAGAAUUUAACCCAAAUUUUGUGAUAUUUGAUUCCUCUCCCAUUUUUCUAAUCCAAACAUAAAGUUAGAAAAGGGGAGAUUCCUAUGCUGCUCCAAAUUGUAAGGUUUAUAUCUUGUAGUGAAACAAAAUUACAAAAUUAUAAUUUUGUCAUGUGCCUUUGGAUUUUAAUUUUUUUUAAUAUAUGGUAGUAUUAUAAUUUCAUUAUCGAUGUAUAAAAAAAUAAUCCAACUAUAAUUGAGACCCAGGUAAAAAGCCAGAAAAUUUAUCUUAUCUUAUCUUUCUGCUCUUUUAAUCCUUUAAUGAUCUGUUAAUUUUUGAGAAAGGUACAAAUGAAAUUCUACGUGUGAGAGGAAUGUUAAACUAAGUCGUGAUUCUCUAAACUCCUGCAUGUAUUGCAAUUGAGGUGAUGGAUACAAUGAAUGUUUUGUAGAGUGUAAAUUCUUCUUCUUCUUCGAUUAAGGUUCAAUUUAUCACUUUGUAUAAGAUUAAGGGAAAGGGUAUGUAUGAGUAUAGCUUAAGAUUGUUUUUUUAUCCAUAAAAAAAAUGGUGAUCUAUUUUAUUUUAUUCUUUGCUUAAGGAUCGCGUGAUAUCCUUGAAAAAAAAAUAUAAAGUAGUAGGAAUAAAUCCCAAAAUUAUAUAUAAAUUAUGGUUUAAUGUGUAAUUGUAUACAUAAAAUUUUAAUUUGAUCCAAUUCUUCUAAAUUAUUAACACAAUUAUCGAUAUAACAUCAUUUUAUGUUUAUAUAUUGCAUACAUAAAUAAUUAUAUUCAUCGGAUAUAAAAAUAAAUUGAUAUAUUUAUUUCUUUAAAUGUGCAUGACUAAAUCAAAAUUGAAGUUUCAAGUAUACAUUUGAACCACAAUUAGAGUUUUAUGUGUAUAAUUACACCAAAUUAAAAUUAUGUAUACAAUUGCACAUUAAAUCAAAGUUCAUAUAUAAUUUUGAGAUUUAUCCUUAACUAAUAUAAAGAACGGAGAUUUAUUAGCGUAACUGUUUAUUUCAUUCGUAAAUCACUUAACUUUUCUUAUUGUUGUCCAUGAUUAUCAUUUUUUGUUCACAUUAGUACUAAAACUUUGUUAUUUUUCUCAAUUUGAUCUCUAAACUCAAAAUUUUUUAAGGUAUGAUGAUGUGACAUUAUGAGAUUAUGCAAUGUCAUCACUUGAAUUUUUUUAAAAGUUUUCUUUAUGGUUUCCCCCCUUAAAUUGGUUCAUUUUAUAAAAUUAUUAUUUUAAUAAACAAAUUUCAUGUUAGAAACUGAGAAAAAAAUAUUUACUUAUAAAUAUUUUUAUAAUUUUAUAUAUUUUUUAUAAUCUUAUGUAUUUUUAUCAAGAAUGAGCUUGUAAAUAGUUUUUUUAUGUUUUGAAGUUUUUUUACUUUUAAGAAUUAAGACUAAAUUGAUAAAAUGUGUGAAGUUGAGGGUUAAAUUUGUUAAAAUUUUUUAUUAUGCCAAUAAAAAGAGGCCAUUAAAGUGAUUUAAUGGAUGAGUGACCAAAAUAUUAAAUUUCAAUAACGUUAAUAACUAAAAUAGUAAUUUUUAAACCUGCGUAAACCAAAACAAAAAUAUGCUAGUAAUUGGAUGUCUAUUUUUAUAAUUUACCCAUAAUAAUAUUAAAUGCAAGAUGCAAAGGUAAAAAGAAUCCAAUUAAAUUAUCAUUUUUUAUGAAACCCAAAAAUACAAAAUUAAAAGACUAAAAAAGAAAAUAAAUAAAAUUAUUAAUUUUUGAGAAGGAUCAUCUAAAAGGGGUGAAGUGCACUUACAUGUUCCCUCGAUAGUCUAUGAUUUGAGAGGAGUUAGACGUAAAUUAUUCUGGUUCUUUGAAUAAGAUUCAAUUAAUCACUUUGGAUGGAUUAAGGAAAAGAGUAGCUAUGGAGAUUGCUUAAGAUUGUUUUUCAUCACUUUGAAUCAUUCUUUACUUCAAGUCGAACAUACUUUACAACUAAUUUUUGCAAUUUUCAAAUAAAUGAUAGUUAGUGGUUCAUGUCAUUUUGCAACUCUCCUAUUUUGUUCAUCACUUUCAUUACUUAAAAGAGUACUAUAUAAUAAUAAUUCUUCACUUCACAUGGCAGCUGGAACAGGAAAUAUUGAUGCCUUUUACGCUCUAGUUCGAGAGCAUCCAUACAUGUUGGAGCAUAUUGAUCAGAUUCCUUCCAUCGAUACUCCACUUCACAUAGCAGCAAAUGAAGGCCAAAUUAAUUUUGCAACGGAGAUGAUGAACUUGAAGCCUUCAUUUGCUCGGAAGCUGAACCAAGACGGGUUUAGCCCCAUGCACUUGGCGUUCAGAAAUGGGCACCCCAAGCGAAUGCUUCGACUGUUGAAAAUCGAUAAUGAUCUGGUUCGCGUCAAAGGAAGGCAAGGGAUGACCCCAUUCCUUUGGGCUGCCACAGUGGGGAACAGGGAUUUAAAUUGCGGUCGCAUUGCGUUUAUCGUGGUUGCGGGCAUAACGGAUGCUAUUGCGGUUAUUGCGAGUAUCGAGGUCGUGAAUUUUAAAAAAAAUUCACACAACUUAUUGUAAAAUAUAAUAGCAGUUUCGGACGGUGCCGCUACCGCUAUUUAACGGCGCUAUUUCGGUAACGGACUGCUAUUUAAAUCCCUGGACUGGACUGGGGAACUCUAAUCUUUUAUUCCAGUUCCUUGAAGCUUGCCCUGAAUGCAUGGAAGAUGUGACGGUUCGAAACGAGACUGCAUUAAGCUUCGAAAAACGACCACAUCGGAGCUUUGAAUCUCUUGAUUGGAUGGCUUCAAAGGAACUGUCGUGGAGGAGCCUUUGAUUUGUCAGAAAAGGUUGUAAAUUGGAGAGAUGAAUAUGACAACACUGUGUUGCACAUUACAGCUAAAAAGGAACAAUAUGAGGUAUCUGCAAUGCAACUAUAUUAUCGUUUACUUUUGGGGUUUGAAUUUCUUUUUGCUGCCGGUAUUUAUCUGAUUGUGAUAAGUUUGAUUCUUUUGGUAGUGUUUGUAAGAGGAAUUUGGAUUUGACUUUCUGUUUUAUAAAUUCAUUAUUUCUAUUUUUUUUUGUUUGGAUUUUUUUGUUUAGAUGACUCAAAUUUAGAUUUGAGAUUCAACGACUUAAUUUUUUUAAAAUUUCAUUAUCAAGGAGGAUUUUGAAUAAAAUUGUCUGAACCCGACCAGUUAGAUCGAGAACUAAUUAAUGUAUUGAUUCAGAGAAAGACAUUAAGUCGAUUGAAUUGGACAAAAAACCCCUUGAUCAAGUAGUUAAAACAGACAUUUUUAUUUUAUGAACCUUUAAUGAUUUAUUUAAUAAAACUGAACUGAUAGGUUAAACUAUCAAUUUGAUCAUUAGUUUUCAUAAUAAAGUGGAAAACACAUUUUAUUCAUUCAAAAUCUAGGUUUUCAGAACCAAACUAUAGUGGUCAAACCUAUCAAACUGAUUGCUUUUUCCACUUUGUUUCAUUAAGUCGAGGUUUUCAAAAUAAGUAGUUUGAUCGGUUUGACUAUUAAUUUGAUUAUGAAAACCUUGAUCUUGAAUGAAUAAAAUGAUUUUUCCACUUGGUUAGGAACAGUAGUUUAGGCUAAAACUAAUUGGUGUUUGUAUAUUAUUUGAAAGAGUUUUUUUUUCUGAAAGAAUGUAACUUUCUGUUUUUAUAUUUUUAUAAGUUUUUGGGUUAAAAUAUUAGAAAGGACUCUCAAUUUUAUUGUAUUAUUUAUAUUUUGUUUACACUUAAAUAAAAUCAUAUAAUUUGAUUUGUACUUAAAUAAAUGGACUUAGAUGUAAAUUAAGAGUCGAGGGUUUAUAAAUUAAAAUCGUGAAAAUUAUGGUAUAAAUGAAAAUUUUAAAUAUUUAUACUGUACUAAAUUAAAUGCAUUAAGCUUCGUCACUGUUUUCAAAAUUGGACUGGCUUGUCAAAUCGAUUGGAUCGUGAACCAACCGGGAUACCAAUCCAGAAUAAGGAGUCACACCAGUUGAACCGAUCGGAUCAGUCGAUCGGAUUAGUCAAACUGGUCGGUUAAAUCAACGAUCGAAUAGAUUGAACAAAUUUUCUCUAUUUUUUAAUAUUUUUAAUAAUUUAUUAAAUUAAAUUGGUCGAAUCGAUUGAAACAGGAACCUGUGGUCUAACUGAUUCGCUCAUCAUUCUAGUUCUAAAAACCUUGAAUUUUGUUGAUGAUAUAUUUUAAGUAAAAUUAAUUAUUUAUUAUUUAGGUGUAAAGGUAGUGUCAAAGAAGAGGCUACAAAAAAAUUUGUUUUUUUAAUAAAUUUAAGUUUUAAAAAUUUCAAAUUUUAAAAUCCACAAAUUUAACUCGGAUUUGCACGAACUCAAAUCCAAUUUUUUUUUUUUUUUUUGUUAUGAAAUUAGAUUUACGUUUCCAAAGAGUGGAUUUGAUAAUUGUAUUAAUUAUGCAGGCACUGAAGCUGUUGUUAUAUACCAAUGUUGGGUUACAUGUAACAGCUAAGAACUCGGAAGGUUUGAUGGCUCGAGAAAUCAUAGAAAAUGUUGAAAGAAAAGGCUUGAACAUGAGUGGUGAAGAUGAUGACACUGCCGACAAGAUUAAGCGCAUUAAGAAAAAACUUGAUACCCUAGAACUAAUAUUAAUAGUGUUAAUUCGUGCAAGGAAUGGAUUGUCGGAGAACAUGAUCAACGCAACGCUGGUGACUGUGGCACUGGUUAUAACAGCAGUCGACCAAUCAUCUUUCAGCCCACCCAGAGGUGUUUGGCAAGUUGAUAACAACAGUAUCCCCACCACCACCUCAAACGUUACUACUACUGCUCUUCAAAUCUUUGACGACAAUUACAAUAACUCCAGAUUCAAACACCUGUUGGGUCAAGAAUCAAGGAAAACAGGUACAACAAUCAUGAAUCCCGACUUGUAUUCAAUGUUUUGGGUUUGUAAUCUCCUGACAUUUGAGCUUCCGCUCCUCUCCAAUGUUCCUUCUUUUCUUCUCAUCCCGCUUUAUUAUCUAAGCGUCUCCUACUUUUACUCGAUGACACUAAUAUCCCCGUCGUGGUUCUGGGAAAACGUCAAUUAUAUUCUCACGUGGUUAGCCAUUCUUCUCCCACUUCGCUUACUUCGCUUAAUCAUACGACUACUUAUGUCACCAGCUUACAAGGAGUACAUACGCUUACAUAGAGCUGUUACUAGAGCCAACAAAGUCGGGAUCAUCCAACCCUUGCUAAGGGGUAAUCUAGUUGAUAUUUUAUUAUGUCCUUGAUUUUUUUUUUAAUUGAACUUCUUUUUCUUUUUGUUUAUGUAAUUGCUUGGGAUAAAUUUAUGAAUAAAAUUACUUUGGUUAAACUACAUCAAUAGUCUUUUAAUUUUGUUUAUAUUUAUGUUUCAAUCACUAAAUUUUUAAAACUUAAAAAUUUAUUAUUAAUGUUAUCGGAUUGUUAUUAGGAUAAUACGGGUUUGAUGUGAAACGUUAAAUAUGCCAUAUGUUUAAAAAAAUUUCCUUUCUCUCCUUUUUCGGAUAUUAAAAUAUUUCUUCUUUUCACCUUAUCCUCUCUUCUCCUUCUUUCUCCACCAUUAAUGGUCUCACCAUCUUACUAUUGCCAGUACUCACCAGUCACCACUAUCAACAAUUUCACCAUCUCACCACAACCAAACAUGAACCAACAAACCGACUUUACCCAUAAUAAUACUCAAUAUAAGGUGUUUUUAUCUCUUCCCUUUAUGAAUAUAAUUGGUUCGAUUUUUUGGUUCAAACAAUCAACACUCUAACAGUCAAUAGACUGUGGGAUAGAUCACGUGCAAAACCAACCUAACCUAUGAGUAUAUCCAGAAGAGAAAAAUUAUACAAGUCCAACUCCCCCACAAGUUGCCAAUCGGCUCAUCCACCUUCGAAUUGAUUGGUGCAAUUGGAAUUACAUUGCCAAAUGAAAUACAUGAAGUUCAAGUGCUGACCAUCUACUAGAGGUGGACCAAGUAAAGACCAAUAUUCCAGUGUUGAUUCUCCAAGGCCCUCGAAGAGCCACCAACGCUGACAUCGCCUCCAGACUUGAUUGUUAUUAUUAUAUUCUUUUCAAAUUAUUUUAGUUGUUGUUUAGAAUGGAUCGUGACUAAUUUUUAUUAUGUAAACAAGUUUUGAAUAUUUUAUAUGAUUGAGAGAUUUGUAUGGAUGAUUAUAUUGAAUUUAGAGAGCAGUUAAAUUAUUCAAGUGAAAAAAGUUAUUUUGUAAUAGUGCAUUUGAUUGUAAAAUCUUUUUGUUGUGAUUUUAUAGGCUAAGUUCUCAGGUGAUAGAUCUAGUCUUCAAGGUACAAGAGUAAUUAAGGAUUUUAAACCGGGAUGUGUUAGAAUUAUGUUCAAUGGUUGUAAUUGUUGAAAAAUAGUGGAUUCUUCUCAUUGAAUUAGGCAUAGUAGGCAUAGAGAAAUUGAAUUGCGUCAACAACCUUGUUAUCCUCUAUUUUAAUUUUGGUAUCACAAUGCUUGCAGAAGUACCCACCUCUGCAAUCACUUUUGCUCGUAAUUGCGUAAAUAACAUUGUUAUCCUCUUUUUUUGCCAUUGUUUUUAUAAUUUAAAAACUUUUUUUAUAACUUUAAAAUGUAAAUUUUAGGAUUUUAGAGCUUUUUGAUGUUUUUAGAUUUUUAAAAAACAAAAUUUAGAAUUAUUGUUUAAAAAAUUUUAAAAGUAUGAAAACAAUAUUUUUAGUUAUAGUCAAUUUUGUUAUUAACCCUUUGAAUUAGCGUGUCACAAUCCUCUUAACAGGAGUUAAAGGAUGGGUGACCAAAAUAUAACAAUUUAAUAACGGUAGUAACUAUGACAUAAAUUUUGAAAGUUAAGCGACUAAAAUAUAAAUUUGAAGUUUUUUUUAGGAAUUAUUGUUAUAAGUUGCCCUAAUUUUAAAUUGAAUGAGAAAAAGAGGUAUUAGUUAUAGAAAGCAGUAGAAUGACAGACAACAAGCAUCUAUUUUUAUUGUUGGUUUAAUGGCUAUGAGUAUUCGUACUUGAUUUAUGUCAUAAGUUCCAACAAAAGAUAUAAAAUAAAUGAAAAAAGAGUAUCAAACAAAUCAUAUAAAAACAGGUUUAUAAUUCGUAUUUUUCACGAUUAAUUAUGUACGUGUUUUUAAUUUAAAUUUUAUUCUUUAUUCGAUAUGAUUGGACAGCAUAUAAUUACUGUAGUAACUAAAAAAUGACUAAAUCCCUAAACAUGUUUAAUUGUAAUGUAAAUUAUGGUUUCAGUUUAAGAAACCAGCUUCCAUAAAUAAAAAGACUGGUUGUUUAUUGAGCCACUAGAAGAGGCGGCAGAGGAGGAGUCGCCUAAAAUUGGAAAUAAAAUGAUUUAACGUCCUUCUUUCUCCUUUGAAUAUUCCAAGCUGUCCAUUAGUUUGACUAGUAAAGUCUAUAUGAAGUAUGGAUAUUAUUCCAAAUCAUCAACUUUAUCCACCAACAUAGUUGAGCUAUUAACACGUGUCUAUUUAUUUGCAUAAAUCGAGCCAAUGGUUUUGGAAUACUUUCUAUGGGAAUGGGUAUAUCCUUUUUUUGGGGUCAAAUAAAUCUGAAUUACUAUUUUGGUACAAAAUAAUUGAUAAAAAAUUUAUAAUUUAAAAAAAGAAAAGAAAAGAAGUAACAAAUGUUAUAAAUGUUCCAUAUCUUCAAUUAUUUACCUCAAAAUUUGUUUUAUGAUCAAUUUUUUUAAAAUUAAAUAAGAUUGAUUAAAAAUAUUCACCAUAUAAUUCAAAAUUUUAAACAUUUUAUUUUCAAACUCGUAUUCCUUAAUAAAUAAUAUAUUUUAAACUAUCUUGUUAAUACUAAUUUCUUGAUAAAUAUGUUUUUAAAUUAAUUACUUUUUUUUUCAAGAUUAUCUUAAAAUUUUUUAAGUUUGUGUUUGUUUAAAUAUUGAAAUAAUAGUUGGUUCACUACUCGUGUGGAGUUUUUAAAUUCCACAAGCAAGAUUAAGGUUGCCUGUAAAAUAAAAAAAAAAAUUUUUAAAAAGAGACAUUUGACAAUUUUUUAAGGUUGCUUGUGAUGGAAAAUGAAUCACACCGCGUUUUUUUUUUAAUUAAGUGUUAUAGUCGGUUUGUUGACUCCUAUUUUUUAGCAAGACUGUUAGACAAAUAAGUUUGUCUAAUCUUUAUGGGGUUAUUCUAUUUUCAUUAGUCUGUUAGUGGAGGAUCUUACUUCCACGAUUUAAUUGCAUAAUUGUUGAAGUUAACGAUAGUGAAUUGAUUUUGAUUAUCUUCCUCUCUUGUGUUAAGUAUUCCUUUAAAGUUUGUCAUCAAUGGUAUUAGAGCCAGGUUUAGCGUGUUUUGUAUUGUGUUCCAAAUACGAUGUCACAACAUCCGAGUGAUUUUAUUAAAUUUGUUCAACCUGCUAUUCCUUGCUUUGAUGGUCAUUAUAAUCAUUAAUGGAGCAUGUUAAUAGAAAAAUUUUUAAGGUCAAAAGAAUAUUGGUCUGUCGUUGAGGAUGGAAUCCAAGAGUUGGAAGUUGGAACCAGUUUGACAGAUGCACGGAAGAUGGAGACUAAAUUCUUAGAAAUAACAGUAUAUGGACUAAUUUUUAAAUUUGUAAAAAGUACAAGGACUUAUGAUAUAUUUUAACAUUUUAUUAUGUUUAUACUAUAAUUUAAUUUGAAUAUUUGUUAAUGCCAAAAUGAUAAUAAUAACAUGACAUAAUAAUUAUAAUGAUGAUGAUGUGUGAAAAUAAAAAUACUUCACAUUUAAAUUGAUUAUAAUUUAAAUUUAUAUAUUUCAUAUAUCAUAAUAUUAAUGAAUUUGAGUUUAUAUAUUCUAUAUAUUAUAAUAUUAACAAAUUUGAGUUUUUUUGUAUUUCUUAUUCAUUUAGUUUUAAUUUUAGAAGUGAUUUCAGGGAUGGUUUUGACCUCGUCCUCUCCAGUUUAGUAGAUAUUCGAUUCUUUUCCCAAUUUUAUCUACUACUUUAGAUCAUUCAAGGUUAAUUUUCUCAUAGUGUUAAAUGUUUGCAAUCACUCCAAAUAAUCAUACUUGAGUUGUGAUGGAGACGAUUGCUAACUUGCUAUAUAUUAUCGAUUUUAUAGCGUAAUAUUUAAAAGUAAUUUUUUACCGCCAUACUAAAAAUUUUAAAUAUUUUAAGAGUACAAUUUUUAAAAGCGAAGCUGGUCAACUUGCCCUAAAGUAAAUGGCGAAAAUGCGUCGAAAUUAUAUUGAAGUGAGAAAUGGGGAGUGGGAGUCAAGAUAUUGAUGUCUGUAAUAGGCGGCCAUCGAUUCAUAUCCGUCAUUAGAUAUAAAUAUAUUAAUCAUUUUUUAAAAUAUUCGAUAUUUUUAUGCAAUAUAAAUAUACCCUUGAGGGAUUAGUUUAGUGUCAGAUUGAGCUAAAUCAGUUGAGGUUUCAAAUAAGGAUAGUAAUUUUGCAACUCUCCUAAUUUCUUCAUCAUUUAAAGAAAGAAACAAAAGCAUGGAUCCAAGCUUGAGAGAAAUAGCUGGAACAGGAAAUAUUGAUGCCUUGUACUCUCUCAUUGGAGAGGAUCCAUACAUGUUGGAGCAUAUUGAUCAGAUUCCUUUCAUCGAUACUCCACUUCACGUAGCAGCAAAUAAAGGCCAAAUUAAGUUUGCAAUGGAGAUUAUGAACUUGAAGCCUUCGCUUGGUCGGAAGCUAAACCAAGAUGGGUUUAGCCCCAUGCACUUGGCCUUCAAAAUGGGGCAUACCAAGCUAGUGCUUCGACUGUUGCAGACCGAUAAAGACCUGGUUCGCGUCAAAGGAAGGGAAGGGAUGACCCCUUUCCAUUGUGCAGCUGCAGCGGGGAACUCUAAUCUUUUAUUCCAGUUCCUUGAAACUUGCCCUGAAUGCGUUGAGGAUGUCACGGUUCGCAACGAGACUGCAUUACAUCUUGCUCUGAAAAACGACCACACCGACG